rnacentral:rRNA from 1 species
AUUGAACGCUGGCGGCAGGCCUAACACAUGCAAGUCGAGCGAGCGGCGGACGGGUGAGUAAUGUCUGGGAAACUGCCUGAUGGAGGGGGAUAACUACUGGAAACGGUAGCUAAUACCGCAUACCAUCAGAUGUGCCCAGCUGGGAUUAGCUAGUAGGUGGGGUAACGGCUCACCUAGGCGACGAUCCCUAGCUGGUCUGAGAGGAUGACCAGCCACACUGGAAAGGAGACAAGGUCCAGACUCCCAAGGGGGGCAGCAGGGGGGAAUAUUGGACAAUGGGCCGAAGCCGUAUGGCGCCCAGCCCCGUGUGUGAAGAAGGCCUUCGGGUUGUAAAGCCAUUUCAGCCGGGAGGCGUUACCCGCAGAAGAAGCACCGGCUAACUCCGUGCCAGCAGCCGCGGUAAUUC